rnacentral:rRNA from 1 species
CAGCAGCCGCGGUAAUACGUAGGUGGCAAGCGUUGUCCGGAAUUAUUGGGCGUAAAGGGCUCGCAGGCGGUUUCUUAAGUCUGAUGUGAAAGCCCCCGGCUCAGCCGGGGAGGGUCAUUGGAAACUGGGAAACUUGAGUGCAGAAGAGGAGAGUGGAAUUCCACGUGUAGCGGUGAAAUGCGUAGAGAUGUGGAGGAACACCAGUGGCGAAGGCGACUCUCUGGUCUGUAACUGACGCUGAGGAGCGAAAGCGUGGGGAGCGAACAGGAUUAGAUACCCCCGUAGUCCCUGUCUCUUAUAC